AACAGUUUUCUUCUUGGAAUGACAUUUCUAAUAUGCGUGAAUUUGUGGGGUAACCAUAAUGAAAAUAAUAUUCACCAAUUGACCAUAUAAUAAAGUGGAGUUUGGAUGUGACAAUUUCACACAUAAAUGGACCAAAUGCUUCUUCUAGCGCGUGGCGUGCAUCAAAACAGAUUUAUUAAAGGGAAUUUGCGGUAGAUAUACAAAUUAUGAGUUGAUAUUAGGUAAAUGGACAUGGAGACUGUACAUUUUUUAUUAAUACGAAUAUGUCCCUAUAUUUAGACUUAGGUGUAGUACUGACCAAACCGGUACCCCAUCUUUACCACUACCAUUUCGUCUCUCUCCUUGUUAAAAACUUAAUCUGAAGUAUAGAUUUGUUUGACAAAAAAAAUUCUCCUAUGAAAUCGAAAAAAGGCUCCACUCAUCCUCUUCCUUUUCAUUUAUCUGUAGCCAUUAUUACACACAUCAAAACUGUAAAAACUUAUCUAUAGCCAUUAUUAAACCAAACUCAUCCUCUUUUGCGUUACUAACCUCUUUAUGUCUCAAUCUCAAAAAAAAUUUCUCAUCUCUGAAUGUUUUUUUCUCCAUCUCAUGUUAAAACUCUCUGAAAUCUUCAUAUCUCAUUUUUCUUCUUACAUUUAUAUGAUAGUCUGUAACUACAGUGUCUUAAGGGAAAACUUCACGAUGAAAAAAAACAGAUGUGAUGCGUCUUUCUAGCAGUUGAAAAUAGAGGUGAAGCGUUUUCCACUCUUUUUUUUGUUUCUUCUCCGUUCUGUUUCCAGAGAAACCCGAGGACAACAAUACUUGAGUUAUUGGGGGUUUGAUUUUUUUCAAAAGAAUCAGAACAAUGAAAAACAGAUUUCAGGUUUCUUGAAUCUUCAGUGGAAAAGAUAUUGUUUAUGUUCUGAGUUAUCUCAAUAGGUAAUGGGGCUUUUCUCUCAUUUCCUUUUAAAAUGAGAAUUAUGUUGUGAUGUCUCGGUUUUUUUCAACAAAGGUUCCUCCUUUUCAAGAACAAAGAUCAGACUUGUGUAUGUGAAUUGGUUAUUUGUUCGAAUUUUGCAAUUUUAUUUUUAGUUUUCUGGAAAUAUUCCAAUGAGUGUUCCACCUGUUAAAAUGUAUAAGAGAAAGUUUAACGACAUAGGAAGGGGAAGAUAUGAUUCAGAUUUUUGGAUCCAACAAUCUUGAAGAGGAAAAGGACAGCAAGAUUCUCAAGUUCUUAGGUUUAUGUGGAAUCCACUCGCGUGAGCCCGGAUCUGUCGUGUUCUUGUCGGCGAUUGAGACACGAGGAGGCGUCUCUUGGUCGGAGGAGCAUUUGAGGAGAAGAGAGCCAUAAAAAGUGGAAGUGAGGAAAACGAGGUGGUGAAGUCGCCUUUUCUAGCCGGAGGAUGGUGAACCAACGGCGUCGGAAAAUAGAAAGCUUUGUGGAUCGCCGGAGAAGAGUAGUCAGAGGCAAGCUUCGUCGCCGGGGAAGAAGAGAGAGAAAUAGAAGAAGCUGAAGAAGAGGUUUUUGAAGUAGAAGAAGCCGGUAGCAGGUAAAAUAGAGAUGGAUUCAUUCGAUUGCAACAAGGAUAAUAUAGACUUUCCAUGCAGUUCUUUCUCCUGGUUUGCCAAUUAAUAAAAAAAAUGUCCACUUACCUAA